rnacentral:lncRNA from 1 species
GUGAGUUUGUAAGAAAAGAUAGUAGGUUGAGGGGCUUCAUUGAUUAGUAAACCUGCGGUGCUGGUAAGGUCGGGACCGUGGUCGUCCGUCUCCGCUUUGCCGGCCGAUAAGAUCACUGAGAUUGACCAGCCAGCUGGGUAGGUUUGGCUAGGAUGUACCAGUAUUCCAUAUCGCUAUCUUCUGAUUUCAUUAGACUAACGUAUGCCGCCUUGGAGGUUUCCUCCUCCGAACGCGAAGGACUUCGAUUUUCCGUCAACAAAGUAACACUGUGCAAACUCAUCUGAUCCCACCCCGAAGCUAUUCUCUCACCUUGUAUAUCUCCUAUUGUCCCAAUUCCUCAUCCAUCCAAGUAUUCUCCAUCCCUCCUUUCGGCGUGCACCACGAGAAGGAACAUCAGGCCUCCGAAACCCCGCCUCUCGCGAC